GAGGCAGCAGUGGGGAAUAUUGCACAAUGGGCGCAAGCCUGAUGCAGCGACGCCGCGUGAGGGAUGACGGCCUUCGGGUUGUAAACCUCUUUCAGUAGGGAAGAAGCGAAAGUGACGGUACCUGCAGAAGAAGCACCGGCUAACUACGUGCCAGCAGCCGCGGUAAUACGUAGGGUGCGAGCGUUAUCCGGAAUUAUUGGGCGUAAAGAGCUCGUAGGCGGUUUGUCGCGUCUGUCGUGAAAGUCCGGGGCUUAACCCCGGAUCUGCGGUGGGUACGGGCAGACUAGAGUGCAGUAGGGGAGACUGGAAUUCCUGGUGUAGCGGUGGAAUGCGCAGAUAUCAGGAGGAACACCGAUGGCGAAGGCAGGUCUCUGGGCUGUAACUGACGCUGAGGAGCGAAAGCAUGGGGAGCGAACAGGAUUAGAUACCCUGGUAGUCCAUGCCGUAAACGUUGGGCACUAGGUGUGGGGACCAUUCCACGGUUUCCGCGCCGCAGCUAACGCAUUAAGUGCCCCGCCUGGGGA
rnacentral:rRNA from 1 species